GCCGCCUUUGCUCUAGGAGCCUGCUCACCCAGACUCUAGGAGUCACAGGUACUACACUGGGUACAGAAAACGGUGUCUUACAGCUCGCACAUCGCAUGAGUCUGCAUCUCAUCUCUCCUUCUGUCUGAAAUCAUCGUAAGGAAGAAGAAGAAAGAGACGUCAGAACCACCUCAUCUUGGAUGCUCUAGAUUGUGGCUCAGUUUAUCUUUUCUCAAUCCUCCUCAACUUUACUUGAAUAGGAACUUUGGACCUAUAGUAUGCUACUUGGUAUAUAUUUUUGGUAGUCAAAUAUUCCUGAGUCUCGGCAUGUAUACAUGGUAGGAAAAUUGCAUUCUCUUUUAGACUUUCAUUGUCCUUCAUCAGCACAUGAUGAGUCUCUAGCCCAUACUUGAAGCCUUUCCGGGUAGGGCAGCACAUGCCUAUCACAUCAGUGCUUGUGAAGAGAACAGGAUAAAUAAUCCAAGGCCAGCAUUUGCUGCAUAGUGAGUUAGAGGUCAGCCUGGGCUACAUAAAGCUGUCCCAAACAAUCAAAAGAAGGGAGAUGGUUUAAUGUGUAAGAGAGUUUGCUACACAGGCAUGAGUUUAAAUUUGCAGCACAACAUAAAAAAUUAGGCAUGGAUGCUCGGACCUGAAGCCCCAAUCCUGUGGUCAGUGGAGACAGGAGUAUCUCCAGGGCUUGCUGGCUUUCGGUUUAGUCUCAGGUUCAGUGUGGAACUGUCUCAAGAGAAUAAGGUACAGAGAUAGAACAGGACACUGGACAUUUUCCUCUGGCUUCUGCCUGUGUAUAUAGGUGUGGACACUCACAGAUACACUUAUAACAUAUACACACACAAGUAAAUCAUAACCUGAAUUAGCUGUAUUUUCUAUGUAUUCCCUUGAUAAGAAAUUAGUCUAUUAAUUAUAACUUAAAAAAUAUUCAUGUAGCCACUUUUGAGCAUCUAGAAUGAGUAUGGCAUUGGGCUAACACAAAUCCCAGGAAGAUGAAUAAUUUAAAUAACCCUGUCCUCAAGGAACAAAUUUCCAGUGAUGUUUAAAGAUGAGAGGAGAGAAAACAUGUCUUUAAAUUCUCAGUGCACCAAUAAGAGUGAAUGACAUAAAAUGUACCCUGGAUAAUAAUUUACCCAUCAUGUGACCUGUUUCCAAUCUCUGAAACUGAUACUUGGAAAAAUUAACUACAUUUCAAGUAGGUCACAGGUUCCCUGAUGACAAGCUCUGCACCUUAGUCACCGCUGUAUCCAGAGAGCCCUCACUUCCUGGGAAUUGUUGAGGGAUGAAUGGCCUCUGAGAUAUUAUUCAAUUACCUGUGCAAUUAUCAAUACAAGGCACAGUCCUUUUCCUAUUGAUCCAUCCAUUUCCCCAAUUAUGAAGUAGGGCAAAGUUUAUCUCGAUGCCACGGAGUUAUGCAAGCCCUUUUGCAGAUGCUAUCAAAAGGAGUCACCCAACCAGCACGAACAACCAGAUCCGAAGACAUAGAUUGAGACACACGUGUGUCACAGUUUUCUUUAAGAAGAACAGGCAUUCACGAUGCUUCUGAAGCAAUGUCCUGGCAAGGUAGGUCCUUCUUGGUGACAUGAGGUGUACCUGUCCCACUCUAGCUACUUUUCCAAGUAUGGUCUAAAUCUUCCUCCUCCUUUAUCCCUUCCUGAGCAUGUCGAAUCUCCCCUGGGGUUCCAGUAUCUACUUGCCGCCACUUCUCCUCAUACUAAGGUAGAAAGAGUCACAUCCCUUCUGACCUCAAGAGUCCAGAUUGUUAUCUUCUCACAUACCUCUCCACCUCCCCAGGACUAAGCUUGUUUGUCAAGACACAAGCAGGGUUGGAGACUGCCUUGUAAACGCCGUGGCAGGUGAGCUCCUGUCCCUGGCAGGAGUUGAAUAGAGGCAGUAGAAGAGGGGAGGCGGGUUGUUUGGGACAUUUUCCAUGGUCGUAGCAAGACAAGAAAACACAUGCUUGUUCAGUUUGGAUCUUAAAGAGAUUGGCCCCUCCCUACCUCAGGAUGAGCUAUUUCCCUGAACGUAUUUGCACGCCUCUUGUGUGUGUGUGUGUGUGUCAGUGGUAAGUCCUUGUUAGUGUGCGCAUAUAGACAUGCAUGCUCAGAUGUACAUGCAUAUGUGUGUACAUGAUUGCAGAAGCCAGAGAUCGAUGAACAGUGUCUUUUAUGUCUUUGCUUUUUUGAGGCAAGAUCGCUCACUGAGCUCAUCAAGUCAUCUGGGAUGGUUUGCCACCCCCACAGGAACACUUCUUAAAAGGACUUUCGCACACAUCAAAACAUGCAGCAUCCGGAAGUCACUUGGAGUUUGAUGUCUCUUACCUGCCGACCUGAAGUCAUCUUGCCAGUGGAAAGGACGCACCAGUGGGAG